UUUAUCUUCACAUACGAAACGAAAGAUAAUGCAUGAACCUAGAGAUAAUGAACUAGGCUAUGGACACACUGUUAGAUGGCUGCUGAGCACUUGGUAAAAUUAACCUGACACAAGAUUAAAAACAUAAGUGAAACUGAUAGUGACCUUGCAGCCGAUCUAUUACAAAGCGUAGUGGAAGUGCUGAAUGUACGCAAAAAGUAAGCCCAUACAAUUCACAUUUCGUUACUAAUUACUAUUAAAAUGCACAUAUGAUCGGUACGCAAAACGUUGUUAUAUAAGGUCAGCAUCAAUUUUGUUAAAAAAAAACGAUCAUAGGCUUAACUGGGUUUCAGUUGUUUUAAAAAUACAGAACCUGAUAACAUAAAUUUGAGAGUCAAUGCCAUUGAUUAAUGCAUCAUUUCUCAGGAGGUGCAGAUUUUCUGUUCACUGUUUGGGGACCGUCACUCGGGUUCUCCGCUCUUGGGUGUGUAGGUUGGCAUUUUGUUCUUGCAUGCCCGGCUAUUUCGGCAGUAGAGAAGCAAAGCAGAGUCGGCCACGUCGCUGCUGGUUCCCGGGAGUCAGGCUAUAGGAAAUGUGUGCAAGAAUGGAUAAACGCCUGUGAAUGCGCAAAGCCCUUUAAUGAUGAGCUCUGAAAGCCCCAUCAAUAACCAUAAAUGACGCUAAACACGCAUAUCGCAAGGCUGGCUAUUCAUGAAGCCAGUUUCUCGAUCAAAUUCGUAAGUCAUUGCUUCAUUUUAUGGCUUCGUCUUAGAAGAGGAGGAAUUCUCUAUCGCUUGAGGGUGCUUUAAAACUAUGGUCUACCCAGAGAACCUUGUCUGUUCUUUUACUUUCAGCCUAAAAUAUUACGCAAUAACGUUAUGUGACCUUGGAUGUCUUAUGUCAUAAGACAAAAAUGUAUCAGGAUUGGGGGUAUAUAUGUAAAAUUAUAUGAUUCACAAAUACAACACAGUAUAGCAAUGGUAAUUUAAUACGAAGGGGCAUUUUCAAACAUCUUGUGUGUGUCUUAUUUUAAAACGUGAAUCGAAAAGACCGUGCUGGCCGCGUGCGGUUUUAGUGCUUGUAUACUAAACAAAGAGUCAUGGAAGCCUGCGCGUGAUCAAUCUUCCUCACCAAAAGGUCUGACAACAUCGCACCCCCACUACAUAUUUCAACUAUCUUACACUGCGCAAGAUCUAAUACAACCAGAAAGGGACAAAGAAGACACUACAGACUUUCUCGCCUGUUUUAUUCCGUUUUACACACAAAAUCCAUCAAACUCUCGUUUGGAUAUAGCUAUAUUAUUGGAAAUAGUGGCACACACAGGGACCUGGGAAGCUGUCAGAAUGUAAUGGAUGAGUCUGCUCGGAGGAACCCGUUGGACCUCAACACACAGCUGCGAGAUGCGAGAAAUUAGUAAAACAUCACGCUUUACAUGUACAGCAAUAGACACUUCGUUAUGCAACAUGCCUUUUAUGAGGACAUGGAAGGUUUUGAAUAAUUGUUAUCAUUUUUUUAGGGUUUUUUUUCAAUUAUUUUUUUAAUAUUUUAUCACUCUCAUACUUUGUAAAAUUCUGAUUUAAAAAGAAAGUUCUCUCUUAAAAUAUUUCUAAAAUACACAAAAUAUUUUUUUUAUGUUCAUUGAAUAUACUGUUUAAAUAUAGCGUUUUAACUGUGUUCAUUAGCCACGCAAAAAGAAUGUUGUUCUGAAUUUAUGAAAUUGAUAAAAAUCGAUAUGUCAUUUCAAGUGAAUAAAAAAUUCAUUUGAAACAUGCAAGCUGGGUAAGCCUGUUGUCUAAUUAAUACAUUAAAAUAAUUUAUAUUUUAGUCAUGCGCGCUGAUGUGCCAUUUGUGAAAUUUUAUUUUAUCUGAGCGGUAAGUGAGAAAUGUGGGAAAUUUUGAAGAGAUCUUUAAAUUCUCAUAGAACUGAAAUAAUUUAGUGAGAAAAACUCGUUUUAUUUUUACUUACUUUUGUUGUAUUCAUUAAAAGUAAAUUUCAUAUUUGAUAUUUGGGUUAAUGUUAAAAGCAUUUGUCCAUAUUGUACUAUUUCUCUGGAAAGCUUGUAUACUGAUUAAAAAAAAUGGUAAAAUGUACUUUUCUUUUCAUCUGCUCUUUUUAAAAUGUGACCUCAAGUACACUGUGACUUAAAUGGUUAAAUGUUUAAAAAGAAUAUACAUGUUUUGGUCCUUUCUUUCAAUUAUUGUUUUUUUUUUAUAUUAGAGUGCUCAAGCAAAAACAAAACGUAAAAAAAAAUAAUCGCACAUUUUUUUUUCUCUUAUUACACAAGAAAACAAAGACAAGAAAACAAAAAGGACACUAUCAACUUACCCUUAAAUUGUAUAUAAAGCUGUUUUGUUAACCACUUAGCAACAUUAAUGCUACAUUUCAAUGGCCACUAAAACAAUUAAAAUAGGAAAACGCUUAACUACAGUCAUUUUUUGGGCCACUCAAGAAACCAGACUGAUGACCUGGUAGAAUUUGUGUGCACAUACACCUCUGGUCAGCAUGCCCAAGAGCCCAGUUAGUUCAAGUAAACAUUGCAUCUUUUCCUUUUCUAGUUUUCAGAGCACUUGCAAAAGAGUUGUAAAUUUUACCCAGUAAAUUAAGUAAAAUAUACACAUUAGGGUUUCACAUCAGAAAUAUUAGAUUGUGGAAACAUGAUCUCUGUCAUUUAUGCAUGACUGUGCUAGCCUGAAAAUUUCAGUAACUGCAUAUUACCUGGGAUUUUCAUGCAGAAAAAUCACCAUCCAGUGAGCAACAAAGGAGAUUGCCAGAUUGGUUUCACUGACAGGAAAUCCAUGGUAACUCACUUAACCACUCUUUCCAACCAUGGUGAUCUCAGACCCCAUAUUUGAGGGGGAUGGGCUAUCAGAUGAAGAUGAAGAUCACUUCAGAUGAAGUUCACUGCAGGCUACGGUUCUGAAUGUCCAAAACAGGAAUUUGG